rnacentral:tRNA from 1 species
UCCCGUGUAGCUCAGUGGGUAGAGCCUGGCGCUUGCAAUGGCAGGGUUUUGGGUUCAAUUCCCAUGGGGGAA